rnacentral:rRNA from 1 species
AUUGAACGCUGGCGGCAUGCCUUACACAUGCGAGUCGAACGGCAGCACGGGUGCUUGCACCUGGUGGCGAGUGGCGAACGGGUGAGUAAUACAUCGGAACAUGUCCUGUAGUGGGGGAUAGCCCGGCGAAAGCCGGAUUAAUACCGCAUACGAUCUACGGAUGAAAGCGGGGGACCUUCGGGCCUCGCGCUAUAGGGUUGGCCGAUGGCUGAUUAGCUAGUUGGUGGGGUAAAGGCCUACCAAGGCGACGAUCAGUAGCUGGUCUGAGAGGACGACCAGCCACACUGGGACUGAGACACGGCCCAGACUCCUACGGGAGGCAGCAGUGGGGAAUUUUGGACAAUGGGCGAAAGCCUGAUCCAGCAAUGCCGCGUGUGUGAAGAAGGCCUUCGGGUUGUAAAGCACUUUUGUCCGGAAAGAAAUCCUUGGCCCUAAUACGGUCGGGGGAUGACGGUACCGGAAGAAUAAGCACCGGCUAACUACGU